rnacentral:rRNA from 1 species
CCUACGGGAGGCUGCAGUGGGGAAUAUUGGACAAUGGGCGCAAGCCUGAUCCAGCCAUGCCGCGUGUGUGAAGAAGGCCUUCGGGUUGUAAAGCACUUUUGUUGGGGAAGAAAAGCCAUGGGUUAAUACCCUGUGGUACUGACGGUACCCAAAGAAUAAGCACCGGCUAACUUCGUGCCAGCAGCCGCGGUAAUACGAAGGGUGCAAGCGUUACUCGGAAUUACUGGGCGUAAAGCGUGCGUAGGUGGUUUGUUAAGUCAGAUGUGAAAGCCCCGGGCUCAACCUGGGAAUUGCAUUUGAUACUGGCUAACUAGAGUGAGGUAGAGGAGGGUGGAAUUCCCGGUGUAGCAGUGAAAUGCGUAGAGAUCGGGAGGAACAUCAGUUGCGAAGGCGGCUCUCUGGACCAUCACUGACACUGAGGCACGAAAGCGUGGGGAGCAAACAGGAUUAGAUACCCCAGUANUC